GUUAGCGCAGUUGGGUCUGGCUGGCUUCAGGAGCUGCUCGCUGCCGUGGCACAGGAAAAAUGGCAGGCACCAUGGCAGCGAGCAGCUCCUGAAGCCAGCCAGACCCAACUGCGCUAAC